rnacentral:rRNA from 1 species
GCAUGAUGCAGUGUGAAAAACUCCGGUGGUAUAAGAUGGACCCGCGUUGGAUUAGCUAGUUGGUGAGGUAACGGCCCACCAAGGCGACGAUCCAUAGCCGACCUGAGAGGGUGACCGGCCACAUUGGGACUGAGACACGGCCCAAACUCCUACGGGAGGCAGCAGUGGGGAAUAUUGCACAAUGGGCGAAAGCCUGAUGCAGCGACGCCGCGUGAGCGAAGAAGUAUUUCGGUAUGUAAAGCUCUAUCAGCAGGGAAGAUAAUGACGGUACCUGACUAAGAAGCACCGGCUAAAUACGUGCCAGCAGCCGCGGUAAUACGUAUGGUGCAAGCGUUAUCCGGAUUUACUGGGUGUAAAGGGAGCGCAGGCGGUGCGGCAAGUCUGAUGUGAAAGCCCGGGGCUCAACCCCGGUACUGCAUUGGAAACUGUCGUACUAGAGUGUCGGAGGGGUAAGCGGAAUUCCUAGUGUAGCGGUGAAAUGCGUAGAUAUUAGGAGGAACACCAGUGGCGAAGGCGGCUUACUGGACGAUAACUGACGCUGAGGCUCGAAAGCGUGGGGAGCAAACAGGAUUAGAUACCCUGGUAGUCCACGCGGUAAACGAUGAAUACUAGGUGUCGGG